UACGUAGGGUGCGAGCGUUAAUCGGAAUUACUGGGCGUAAAGCGUGCGCAGGCGGUUCGUUGUGUCGGCGGUGAAAGCCCCGGGCUCAACCCGGGAGGGUCGUGGCGAACGGGCAGGCUUGAGGCCGGUAGAGGUGGGUGGAACUCCUGGUGGAGUGGUGAAAUGCGUAGAUAUCGUGAGGAACACCAGAGGCGAAGGCGGCUACCUGGACAAUUGCUGACGCUCAGGCACGAAAGCGUGGGGAGCAAAAGGG
rnacentral:rRNA from 1 species